rnacentral:rRNA from 1 species
AACGAACUCGGGCCGCAUGCCUAACACAUGCAAGUCGAACGAGAUCUUCCGAUCUAGUGGCGCACGGGUGCGUAACGCGGGGGAAUCCGUCCUUCGGUUGGGAAUAACUGAGGGUAAUUUGAGCGAAUACCUGCUAAUGUCGUCUGACUAAUGAUUGAUAGCGGAGGGAUGAGCCCGCGUAGGAUUAGCUAGUUGGUGGGGUAAUGGCCUACCAAGGGGUCGAUCCUUAGCUGGUCUGAGAGGAUGAUCAGGCACACUGGGACUGAGACACGGCCCAGACUCCUACGGGAGGCAGCAGUGGGGAAUAUUGGACAAUGGGCGAAAGCCUGAUCCAGCAAUGACUCGUGAGUGCUGAAGGCCUUAGGGUUGUAAAGCUCUUUUACAAGGGAUGAUAAUGACGGUACCUGGAGAAUAAGCUCCGGCUAACUCCGUGCCAGCCGCCGCCGUAAAAC